rnacentral:rRNA from 1 species
CGAAAUGCGAUACCUAGUGUGAAUUGCAGAAUUCCGCGAAUCAUCGAGUUUUUGAACGCAAGUUGCGCCCGAGGCUCGUACCGAGGGCAUGUCUGUUUGAGCGUCCA